UUACUUAGUGUGGCAAGAGCAAGGGGCUGGAUCCCUGAGCAGAUCUGGAAGGAAUGCCAGGUAGAGACUUUAUCUGGAAGGCAUUGUGGAGCCACAGGAGGGCCUGCAGCAGAGAGCUGCAUAUUUUACUGGCCUGCUGUUGUUGAAUAAUUGCCCUGAUAACAACCUCCUACCCUCUCAUUUAUCCAACCAGGAAGGAUUACACAUUAAUUCCAUUGUCAGCGGACUUUCCGACCCAGAGAGAGAGGACAACCAGAGAACUCUGGGAAUCAAGAGGAGAGGGCAAGGAGCCAAGGACAAAAACAACUACUUGUUUUUCAGUCUUGAGCCUUGAAAAUAAAUAUGGAGUAGCAUUAGAAGAGUCUUGUUUCUAGAUACCAAAAGAACAAUGGAGAAAAAAGCAUGGGUGCUGCUCUUGAGACCCUCACAGACUUGCAGAGCAAUAGAGACAGAGAGAAAGAGAGAGAGAAGCAGAGACAGGCAGAGGGAGAAGCAGGCUCCACGCAGGGAGCCCGACGCGGGACUCCAUCCCGGGACUCCAGGAUCAGGCCCUGGGCUGAAGGCGGCGCUAAACCGCUGAGCCACCGGGGCUGCCCGCGUCAUUACAAUAUUAAAUCAUCCAGUUCAGUACUGUGCACUGUCUCUUCGUUUGUUUGAAUCAUUUUCUAUUUCCUGUUUUAAACUUUUAAAAUUUUCUCCAAAGAGGUUUUAAGUACCUCUUUGGUACUUUAUUUCCUAGAUACUUUAUAAUUUUUGUACUUGUGAUGGGCAUCAUGUCUUCUAUUAUACCUUGUGGUUGUUAUUGCUGGUAUAAGGAAUAAACACUAUUGAAUCUUG